GCUUAACACAUGCAAGUCGAACGAUGAUCCAGAGCUUGCUCUGGUGAUUAGUGGCGAACGGGUGAGUAACACGUGAGUAACCUGCCCUUCACUCUGGGAUAAGCGUUGGAAACGACGUCUAAUACCGGAUACGACAACCGAUGGCAUCUUCUGGUUGUGGAAAGAAUUUUGGUGGAGGAUGGACUCGCGGCCUAUCAGGUAGUUGGUGAGGUAAUGGCUCACCAAGCCGACGACGGGUAGCCGGCCUGAGAGGGUGACCGGCCACACUGGGACUGAGACACGGCCCAGACUCCUACGGGAGGCAGCAGUGGGGAAUAUUGCACAAUGGGCGAAAGCCUGAUGCAGCAACGCCGCGUGAGGGAUGACGGCCUUCGGGUUGUAAACCUCUUUUAGUAGGGAAGAAGCGAAAGUGACGGUACCUGCAGAAAAAGCACCGGCUAACUACGUGCCAGCAGCCGCGGUAAUACGUAGGGUGCAAGCGUUGUCCGGAAUUAUUGGGCGUAAAGAGCUCGUAGGCGGUUUGUCGCGUCUGCUGUGAAAACCCGAGGCUCAACCUCGGGCCUGCAGUGGGUACGGGCAGACUAGAGUGCGGUAGGGGAGAAUGGAAUUCCUGGUGUAGCGGUGGAAUGCGCAGAUAUCAGGAGGAACACCGAUGGCGAAGGCAGUUCUCUGGGCCGUAACUGACGCUGAGGAGCGAAAGCGUGGGGAGCGAACAGGAUUAGAUACCCUGGUAGUCCACGCCGUAAACGUUGGGCGCUAGAUGUGGGGACCAUUCC
rnacentral:rRNA from 1 species